rnacentral:lncRNA from 1 species
UUAAUUUGAGUUUCUUUCUUUGAAUCCUUAAUUUUCUCCAUUCAUGUUGUUUUGGAACUAGAGUUUGAUUAAAAAAUGACCCAAUUUCGGCAAAAGCUAUACGUGAUUCUGACAUGAGAAUUGCACCGUUGUAUUUGAUAAUAAGAUUUGGACCAUGUCUUUUAUAAACUUGAUUACGGUUCCUUUUGUAGGUUCUACUAACCGAAAUUGAUUCAAGGUUUUUCAUUUUGCUUGAGAAGAGACUUUUGGUUGUGGUUAAGGCUUUGCUACACUGCUGCUACGAAAUCUUUAAAUUAUACUCAUUUUGUUGCUAUGAUUAUCUUCCUUUUAUUAUUAAUUACACUCUCUUUUUAUUUUUUAUUUCUAGCAUGAUGUCUAUUAGAUUAUAAACAAAAUGGUUUAUAAUAUCAUAGGUUGACUUAUAGAUCGGAGCUUAUAUGGCAUUUGUGCUUGCCUAGACGUUUUCAUGGUUGAAUUUAUCUAUAGCCCUUUCUUAUGGCAUUGGUCAUAUUAUUGCAGCCUUUUAAUUAGUUAUUAGUUUUUUAAUAUAAGUGAUCUAAAACAUUUGUGCUUGCCUAAUUCCUUUUGAAUAAUAUUUUCUGUUAUGGCUUUAUUGAAGGAGAUGCAAGAAGAGGAGAUUUUUUAGGAAAGAAAAACUAGGGUUCAUCUUCAAGGAAUAGGGAUGAAAUCCAAUUUGAGAAAAUCCUAAAACCCAAAGGUAAAAUAGAUAUGCUGUAGGUAGGUACAAUUUAACCCAUGUUUUGUAGUUUGAUGAAAUAGUUCAUUGAUUUCUUAUCUCUGCAUUUCUUAUGUUGCUUAUUUUUUCAAAACCAUAGAUUAAAAGUAUAGUGAUUUGAUUAAGUUUUGAUUUUAACCUUAUGUUUAACCCUCAAAUUUUAAGCUGUUCAUUUGCAAUGUUUAUUGUCCUAUUACUACAGGCUAUAGGCAAAUGAGAAAAAAGGGCAUAUACCUUAUCAAACUCAAAAGACUAUUAGCAACAACUAAAGGGCAUAAUCCCUUAAAUGAUUUUUGGCAUCGAGUGCUAGGAUGAAAUCCAUUGCAAAGGUAUUCUCUAUUUCCUUACUUAUUUUGGGGCGAGCUUAUUGGAAAUGUUUGAAAAUCAAUUUUCAUUGGCUAGAUAUUUGUUACCCCUGUAAAUGUCCCAAUAAAUUCAGAUUCAAGUUGCUUAUGCAGUUUUGGCUACGUAAGAAAUUCUUAUAAUAAUAACUAUAAUAUGUUUCAAGUACCAGUUUUAAUCCUUUUUAAUUACUAUUCUUUUAUUAAAAAGAAGGCAUUGUAAACGUUUUAGAAUUUAUAGAAUCUCAUGUUCAUCCAUGAUUUUGAUGAAAUUACUGUAAAACAACAACUGUUGUGAAUUUCUAUUGUAAGUACUAUAAUUAAGUGACAACAGUGUCAUAAUGGAGGUAUGAGGCUAAUUAAGAAGCUUCUAGGAUUGCAGAUUUGACAACUUUAUGUUACAUUUACCAUA